UGAAAAAAGGGGAGGAUGCAGGGAGUCUCUGGUGAAGAAGGGGGAGGAGAAAGAGGGGGGUGAAAGGUUGUAAGUGGCAGGUGGUGAGGACUUCAGGUUGCUAUUAGAUGUGAGAGCGUAAAUGCUCGACGGAUCACACUGUAGCCGAUGGCUUUUCACACAGGAAGGUUGAGGAACAUCUCUGUGCUGCAAGUGCAAAGUCAUGACUGCUGCCAAGUUUGCUUCAGACUCUCAUGAGGGCGUGAAGAGUGUCAGAGAGCGUGUAAGAAUAGCAGCUCUGGGAAGUUGAGAACAGUGAUCCUGCUGGGCUCCGCAUUCUAUUUUUUCUAAACACUGGCAGCUCAUGUACAGUAGAGCUUUUUUUUUUUUUUUUAAACCUAAAGUGGGGGGAUUUUAACUUUAUCUUUAUUGUUCCAGGGAAAAUUUCAGAGGAUGUGGAUAACUUCAAGGGUCAGGAAUGCCUGUUUCUCCAUCAGUUUCCUGAACUGUCCUUCCCGGUUGCUGAGCAGCUCUGUGGGAUUUCCACACUCUGCGAUGUGCCUCUGAUCCAGCACAGCGACAGUGUCUGCGUUCUUGAUGGUGGACAGGCGAUGAGCAAUGAUCACCACUGUCCUUCCUGUGAAUAAAAGCAGUGCUGACUUAUGAAUUGGUUUCACACACAGGCGGGUUAUUUUACAAAAAGGGAGAAAGGUCAACCUACCUUCCAUCAGACGCUCCAACGCCUCCUGGACAAGAGACUCGUUCUCCGAGUCCAGUGCGCUGAAGACAGAAAAACUGAUUGAACAAUCACAGUGCAACAGAUAAAGCAGUCAUUAUUUUAAAGUGCCUCUCACCUGGUGGCCUCAUCUAACAGUAGGAUCUUUGGAUUCUGUGGGAAGAAAUUGUUGAAGACACUUAAGCAAGAUUUCAUGAAAAAACCUAAAGUAAUGUAUAUGUUUCACUGAAAUCAGUCGGUUUGUUAUCUCCCUUUGAUUGCAUUUUGGAUAGAAAUGUGAUUAAAGAGAAGUUCUAAAAGAAAA